rnacentral:lncRNA from 1 species
GCCCGCCCCAGGAAGAGCGCUCCCGCGAACUGCGGCGGUGGUGGCUGGGCCACCAGAGGGAAGCGGGUGUGGCCCAGGCAGCGGGGGCUGGGACAGACCUGGAAAGGAGGAAGCGGGGAAGGAAGGUUGUCCUGUCGGGCUGGGGGCUCCCGGGAAUCCGGAGGCCAGCAGUGGAACCGCAAGGCUCUACAGGGCAGAUCUGCCUCCCGUGCUGUCUCAGCUACGCCGAGUCGUUGGCUCAGGGCGGAGGAUUUUCCUAUUGGCCGCGUUAUUUGAAUGGAAUGGAGGAUAGGUCGUGAAGUAGGUGCUGCUGGUUGAUCUUUCUAAGGAACUCAGAUGAACUUGGGCAUGUCAGAAUUAAUAACCUUUUAAAAGUGGGGUCUGUGUGGCCGAGGGUUUUAAUGGGUGGAACCAAGCAGAGGGGUUCACCCAAGCCAUCUUUGGGUGCUUCCAUGGGAAAGAAGGAUUUCACUGAGAAUAAUAAGUGACACCAAGGCUCAAAAGAAUGAGAGAGAAGUCUGUUGGUCUCUUGAACAGCAGGGAUUUGCUCACAGAUCUCUGGAAGUAGCCAGAAUGUGACAGGAUCUCAAAAUGAAUGGCUGCUUCAUGGAGGCUGGAACAUAAGCCUGGGACUCCCAGUAGCCAAACAUAGCUGUGCCACAAACAUGGCUGAAAUGUAGCAGUUUGGUGGAUCCGAGGUCAGUCAUUGAAAAUGUAUUGAUUGGCACCUAUUCUUUGUGAAUCAUUAUUCUGGGUUCUGGGGUCACAGGAGCAAAUGAAACAAAUGAAGUACCUGCCAUCAAUGAGCUUACAUUCUAGUAAAGAGGGACAGAAAAUGAAUACAUUUUAAAUGAAUAAAUUCAGAUACCGCUAAAUGUAGUGAAGAAAAAAAUUGGGCUAAAGAGAGCGAAAAACAAUUUCUGAAGUUACUAGCAGUGAAGGGUGGGGGAAGAGAAGAGACGGAUUUAACCAGGAAAGAUCUGAGCUGAGGGUGUAUCCAGGUUUUCUGGAACCUGA